AUUCCAGUAAAUGGAUAGAAGCUAAAAACCAAAACAAAAAUUUAAAAUUUUUUCUUUGGACAAAUCGAGUUUCGUAGACUAAAAAAAAAUAAUUCUAUUAGAAAAUCAAAGUGUAUUUGCUACGUUGAGGUGAGACCGCGAAAACGAUUUACCUGAAUUUCCAAACAAAAUUUUUCGUUGACGCAUUGUUUACAUUAAAAUUUUACAACUGUGUAAAUCUGUAGUCUUCUUCAAUCAGGGGUUAAAAUAAGGCGCAUUUUAUAGCUCCUGAACGACAGCCCGGUGAAUUCAUGAAUUAUUUGUGUCUAAUUUGAGCAACGGGACCUUACAUUGUUCUUGACUUUACGUAAUAUUUGCUUUCGCCAGUCUUGGAGGGACAGUAGUAUUUGUUAAUUUAUAUCGUUAAGAUGCAACAAUACAAUAGACAAUAAUCAAAGUUCCGCGCAAAUAAGGUGUUUAUUCAUUUGGUUCCUUAUUUACUAA
rnacentral:sRNA from 1 species